rnacentral:lncRNA from 1 species
CAGACACUGUGCAUUUCCAGUUCCACUUAAGGAUCUAAGUGGAAAAGGAAGCUGCUCUGCAGCCCCUAGAGAUUGCCCCAAACAGCUGCAAGCAGUCAGGCCUUACCAUUUCUGUAGUUGAAGUUUUGAGGCCAAGUAUUUCAGGAGCCCCCCGACUGACAAACAGUACCCUCUUUUAGAUAUUGGACAUAAAGACAGAUGUUCUUCGAGCCUUUCAAUUUCAAACACUGGAACUCUUCCAGUCACUCUGCAGUGAGGACUGUCUUCCAUUGCUAGACAAAGAUGUAAUCAAAGCACUCUAGGCCUUUUUCCUGCUGGAACUGAGCCAGGACAGAGCUUCUAAGAAGACUAAAAAGUGGUAGUCUGACCUCUUUAGACAAAGAAAUGCAUAGAACAAGCCUGCCUUCUUCUAGGCAUUAGGGCCAAGUCUCUACCUGCUUCUUGUUGAUAGAGACAGGCAGGCAUUGUAGCAGAAGACAAAUUAGGACUUGUUGCUGUCCUGACUUAGAUAAAGAGAUUUUCUAGAGAUCUAGCUAUAAUUAGAAUUUUGCAUUGAGAUUUGGGAACAAGGCCCAAGUAAAUAUAAAUUCUGCCUUGCUUACGUUUCUUUGUGUGUGUGCACAUGCAUACACACACACACACACACACACACACACUAAUCUAGGAACCCUGCAAUAGAACUGAGUAAUUAAUGGUACAAUUGGGCUAUUACUGGAUAUCUUGGGUGUUCUUGGCCAGACACCAUAUUAAUCACUUGUUAAUAUCCAUACCACGAUUAAGUUUAAAGAGUUCCUUGCCAGAAAGUCUUCAUUCUACCUAAAAUUCCUCUUAUUAAAAGUUCAAUAAUAUUAUCUCCAAAAAUAGUGAUUGGCAAAAUCACUAUUGAUUAAGCGAUGAGAUGCUAAACUCCUUUGAGUAGCACAUUAUCCAUUAACACUGUCAUCUUGCCCAGAGUUAGCUGUUUAAUGAUAUAAUAAGUUCAGCAGGGACUCCAAGGACCUUAUUUCAUGGCGUCUUCCUUAAAUGAUUUUACUGACAUUUAUAUCAAAGUUAUCUCCAGACUUAUCAGAGUAGAUUGAGUCUUUACCCUGCUUCAAAAAUUUUCAAGGAGUUGCUCCUUUCUCUUUGACCCAGCUCCAAUUAGCUGCCCUCUUCUUACAGACCUGGACUCAGGGCAUGCCUGCUUUACAAAUAAUUUUCCUUCCUCCCUCCCUCCUUCAUUUCCCUUCUCUUCCCUUUCCGCACACCCUUGGACCAGAAACCAUUUCACCCUCAAGUGACAAGGGCCAUGGUUCAGCUUAUUCCAUGGCUACUUAAUUAAGAAAGUUUAUUUAUGAAAUCUACAUGCUUGGGGUAGUUUUCCUCAUUUCCCUUUCAGGGGAUUUGUCUCUGAUAUACAGAAAUGCCUUUGACUUAUGGGUAUUGAUUUUACAUCCUGCUACUUUGCUGAAUUCAUUUAUUCUAGAAGUUUUCUGGUGGAAUUUUUUGGUCUUCUAGGUAUAGAAUCAUAUCCUUGGCAAAUAGUGCUAUAAUUUGAGUUCUUAUUUUCCUAUCUGUAUCCCUUUCAUUUCUUUCGUCUGUCU